UUGCAAUUGGAUUGAGAACAACGUACAAACCUUAUCGAUAAACAAUUGGAGGGCAAGUCUGGUGCCAGCAGCCGCGGUAAUUCCAGCUCCAAUAGCGUAUAUUAACGUUGUUGCAGUUAAAAAGCUCGUAGUUGAAAUGAAGGGUAGUUGUGUAAUGAAUACAUUCGUGUAUUUUGUUAUUCUACUACCCUCCUUCUAAAUUCGAUAUAUGAGUAUUAAUUUACUUGUAUAUGGUUUUAGACUUUUACUGUGAGAAAAUUAGAGUGUUCAAAGCAGGCAUUUGCUUGAAUAUAUUAGCAUGGAAUAAUCAUGUAUGAUUUUCAUGAUGUAUUUGAUUGGUUUGGUUCAUGAGAAUAAGAUUAAAAGGGACAGUUGGGGGUAUUCAUAUUCAAUAGUCAGAGGUGAAAUUCUCGGAUUUAUGGAAGAUGAACAAGUGCGAAAGCAUUUACCAAGGAUGUUUUCAUUAAUCAAGAACGAAAGUUAGGGGAUCGAAGAGGAUUAGAUACCCUCGU
rnacentral:rRNA from 1 species